rnacentral:rRNA from 1 species
ACGGAAGGCAGCAGUGGGGAAUAUUGCACAAUGGGGGAAACCCUGAUGCAGCGACGCCGCGUGAGUGAAGAAGUAUUUCGGUAUGUAAAGCUCUAUCAGCAGGAAAGAAAAUGACGGUACCUGGCUAAGAAGCCCCGGCUAACUACGUGCCAGCAGCCGCGGUAAUACGUAGGGGGCAAGCGUUAUCCGGAUUUACUGGGUGUAAAGGGAGCGUAGACGGCUUUGCAAGUCUGAAGUGAAAGCCCGGGGCUCAACCCCGGAACUGCUUUGGAAACUGUAGAGCUAGAGUGCAGGAGAGGUAAGUGGAAUUCCUAGUGUAGCGGUGAAAUGCGUAGAUAUUAGGAGGAACACCAGUGGCGAAGGCGGCUUACUGGACUGUAACUGACGUUGAGGCUCGAAGGCGUGGGGAGCAAACAGGAUUAGAUACCCUGGUA